UGGGGAAUAUUGGACAAUGGGGGGAACCCUGAUCCAGCCAUGCCGCGUGUGUGAAGAAGGCCUUAUGGUUGUAAAGCACUUUAAGCGAGGAGGAGGGUACUGGUAUUAAUACUACCAGGUACUGGACGUUACUCGCAGAAUAAGCACCGGCUAACUCUGUGCCAGCAGCCGCGGUAAUACAGAGGGUGCGAGCGUUAAUCGGAUUUACUGGGCGUAAAGCGUGCGUAGGCGGCUAAUUGAGUCGGAUGUGAAAUCCCCGAGCUUAACUUGGGAAUUGCAUUCGAUACUGGUUAGCUAGAGUGUGGGAGAGGAUGGUAGAAGUCCAGGUGUAGCGGUGAAAUGCGUAGAGAUCUGGAGGAAUACCGAUGGCGAAGGCAGCCAUCUGGCCUAACACUGACGCUGAAGUACGAAAGCAUGGGGAGCAAACAGG
rnacentral:rRNA from 1 species